rnacentral:lncRNA from 1 species
AAAAUCCAAUUUUGCUCCUCUGUUUCUCCUUGAUUUUGGUUUUGAGCCACCCUUGUCUCUUUCCUCCCGUCUCCAGUCCGUUGAGGUUAGCUUGUGGAUGCAUUUGACCAUUUGGCAUUUGGUUCUCUUCUUGCGGUCCUCCUUUGGGUCUUAUGUGAGUCAAGUCGUUCAAGCUCCAGGCCUUCAGCUUUUUAUGGUCUUCCUUAAAUGCUCUUGGAUACCUAGGAAACACAUUCAAGCCCAGAUGAACAAACGCCUCUCUCUCUCUCUCUCUCUCUCUCUC